GGCAGGCCUAACACAUGCAAGUCGAGCGGUAGAGAGAAGCUUGCUUCUCUUGAGAGCGGCGGACGGGUGAGUAAUGCCUAGGAAUCUGCCUGGUAGUGGGGGAUAACGUUCGGAAACGGACGCUAAUACCGCAUACGUCCUACGGGAGAAAGCAGGGGACCUUCGGGCCUUGCGCUAUCAGAUGAGCCUAGGUCGGAUUAGCUAGUUGGUGGGGUAAUGGCUCACCAAGGCGACGAUCCGUAACUGGUCUGAGAGGAUGAUCAGUCACACUGGAACUGAGACACGGUCCAGACUCCUACGGGAGGCAGCAGUGGGGAAUAUUGGACAAUGGGCGAAAGCCUGAUCCAGCCAUGCCGCGUGUGUGAAGAAGGUCUUCGGAUUGUAAAGCACUUUAAGUUGGGAGGAAGGGCCAUUACCUAAUACGUGAUGGUUUUGACGUUACCGACAGAAUAAGCACCGGCUAACUCUGUGCCAGCAGCCGCGGUAAUACAGAGGGUGCAAGCGUUAAUCGGAAUUACUGGGCGUAAAGCGCGCGUAGGUGGUUUGUUAAGUUGGAUGUGAAAUCCCCGGGCUCAACCUGGGAACUGCAUUCAAAACUGACUGACUAGAGUAUGGUAGAGGGUGGUGGAAUUUCCUGUGUAGCGGUGAAAUGCGUAGAUAUAGGAAGGAACACCAUGGCG
rnacentral:rRNA from 1 species